CGCCUGUUUAUCAAAAACAUAGCCUUAAGAAAUAAUUUAAGGUAAGCCCUGCCCAGUGGAGAUAUUCUUAACGGCCGCAGUACCUUGACUGUGCUAAGGUAGCGUAAUCAGUUGGCUUUUAAAUGGAGUCGAGAAUGAACGGGGCCAUGGGGAGAGACUGUCUCUUUUUUGAUUAAUUUAACUUGCUUAAUAGGUGAAAAUACCUUUUUAAAGGAAAAAAGACGAGAAGACCCUUAGAGCCUAACAAUAUAAUAUAAUUUAUUUGUUUUUGUUGGGGCGACAAGAAGACAGAUAAUUUAACUCUUCUUUUAUACUAAACGAUUAUAAUAUAAAAGAACAGGCUACCUUAGGGAUAACAGCAUAAUUAUUUUUAGUUUGUGACCUCGAUGUUGGACUAGGAACUUGAUGACUAGUCGUCAAUAAAGGAAAGU
rnacentral:rRNA from 1 species